AGAGCGAACGCUGGCGGCAGGCUUAACACAUGCAAGUCGAGCGGGCGUAGCAAUACGUCAGCGGCAGACGGGUGAGUAACGCGUGGGAACAUACCUUUGGUUCGGAACAACACAGGGAAACUUGUGCUAAUACCGGAUAAGCCCUUACGGGGAAAGAUUUAUCGCCGAAAGAUUGGCCCGCGUCUGAUUAGCUAGUUGGUGAGGUAACGGCUCACCAAGGCGACGAUCAGUAGCUGGUCUGAGAGGAUGAUCAGCCACAUUGGGACUGAGACACGGCCCAAACUCCUACGGGAGGCAGCAGUGGGGAAUAUUGGACAAUGGGCGCAAGCCUGAUCCAGCCAUGCCGCGUGAGUGAUGAAGGCCCUAGGGUUGUAAAGCUCUUUUGUGCGGGAAGAUAAUGACGGUACCGCAAGAAUAAGCCCGGCUAACUUCGCGCCAGCAGCCGC
rnacentral:rRNA from 1 species